GGAUCCUGGCUCAGAACGAACGCUGGCGGCAGGCCUAACACAUGCAAGUCGAACGGGACCUUCGGGUCUAGUGGCAGACGGGUGAGUAACGCGUGGGAAUCUACCCAUCUCUACGGAACAACUCCGGGAAACUGGAGCUAAUACCGUAUACGUCCUUCGGGAGAAAGAUUUAUCGGAGAUGGAUGAGCCCGCGUUGGAUUAGCUAGUUGGUGGGGUAAUGGCCUACCAAGGCGACGAUCCAUAGCUGGUCUGAGAGGAUGAUCAGCCACACUGGGACUGAGACACGGCCCAGACUCCUACGGGAGGCAGCAGUGGGGAAUAUUGGACAAUGGGCGCAAGCCUGAUCCAGCCAUGCCGCGUGAGUGAUGAAGGCCCUAGGGUUGUAAAGCUCUUUCAACGGUGAAGAUAAUGACGGUAACCGUAGAAGAAGCCCCGGCUAACUUCGUG
rnacentral:rRNA from 1 species